GACGAACGCUGGCGGCGUGCCUAACACAUGCAAGUCGAGCGGAGAUUGCAGCAAUGUAAUCUUAGCGGCGGACUGGUGAGUAACGCGUGGGCAACCUACCUCAAACAGGGGGAUAACACAGGGAAACUUGUGCUAAUACCGCAUAACAUCAUGAAAGGACAUCCUUUUAUGAUCAAAGGAGAAAUCCGGUAAGAGAUGGGCCCGCGUCCGAUUAGCUAGUUGGUGGUGUAAUGGACCACCAAGGCAACGAUCGGUAGCCGAACUGAGAGGUUGAUCGGCCACAUUGGAACUGAGAUACGGUCCAGACUCCUACGGGUGGCUG
rnacentral:rRNA from 1 species